rnacentral:rRNA from 1 species
UGGUUAAAAAGCUCGUAGUUGGAUCUCGGCGGUCUGAGGGCGGUUCGCUUGAUUGAGUGCUACUGCUCUAUAGGCCGUGGUUUUGCCAGAGGUCUCGGGGUGCUCUUAACCGAGUGUCCUGCGAUGCUGGCAGGUUUACUUUGAAAAAAUUAGAGUGCUCAAAGCAGGCUUUUACGCCUGAAUAUUCGUGCAUGGAAUAAUAGAAUAGGUAGUCGUUUCUAUUUUGUUGGUUUUCGGAAAUCGACUUAAUGAUUAAUAGGGACAGUCGGGGGCAUUUGUAUUCAAACGACAGAGGUGAAAUUCUUGGACCGUUUGAAGACAAACUACUGCGAAAGCAUUUGCCAAGAAUGUUUUCAUUAAUCAAAAACGAAAGUUAGAGGUUCGAAGGCGAUUAGAUACCGCCCUAGUUCUAACCAUAAACGAUGCCAGCUAGCGAUCUGCCGACGUUUUCUUUGUAGACUCGGCAGGAAGCUUCCGGGAAACCAAAGCAUUUGGGU